rnacentral:lncRNA from 1 species
GCAGAGGGAAGUAGUCACACAAAGUUUGAGGCUGGCUGGGAGAAGGCAUCAAAGUCUUGGGCAGAAGCUCAAGAGGGUGUGGCUGAUUAGGCACUUAUUAGCUUCUGGGGCAGAGGAUCUGUUAAGCAAAUUUGCUACUAGAGCUUUCAUGGGUAUCUCUGGAUUACGACCUUGGUCUGAGUGACUGACUUAAGAUGUUUGCUUGCUGAAUUUAACAGUGGUUGCUGAUAAUUAACUAACUCUGAGGUUUCUAGAGUCAGGUUUCAAUGGGCAGAGAAAGGGCAGCCAGUUGUCGCCCUGACAAUCUACGUAAAGCAACCUAACAAUGAGAGUAUUUACCGGGAGUCCCUGUGGUUGUGUAGCCCAGCCUGCAAUGAUCUCAGUGGGAAAGAAAAUCCUCAUUUCAAAAUCCAGACAAAGCACCAGAAAGGAACAUGCUAAGCUGCAGCCAGAAAAACAAAAUGAUGCAGGAGGCUUCAAGACCACGUGGGUGAAGUGGAUGAAGACAUCUUCAAAACAGGGCCCACUUUAAUUUCUAAUUAAUUUUCUUAUUGCAUCCAAUCACAGGGUGACCUCAAAUGCUGUAAACCUGAUUGCUUGACUGUAAUAGAGCCGUUGUUAUAAAAAGAAAAAUAGCACCCUGCAGUUCAAUGUCCUUUAACGGAAAAUGAAGGAGGGAAAAGAAGAAUGGAUUUUAAGAUAGGAAAAGGAAAGGAGGAACAGUGAUGGAAAGAUUGGGGUGAGGAGGGGGACAGGAACUUCCCCAUCCCCAUGGAGAGGUGGUUCUUUCUCACAUCUACUGUUCUAUACAUGUUGCAGAUAUUACAUCUUCACUGUAGGGCCCAGACAUCUUUGAUAGGCCCUAAGGAAAGCCACGCCUUCCCCUGCCAAGGCAUCUAAAGGAGGCAGAAGUGACCUACAGAUCAAGGUGGUUUCCUUUUGCACUGACUUAGGGGUAAGCAUGCAUGCAAGCAGACAGGACAGGACAGGACAGGACAGGACACAACCUGACACAAUAUGACACAACAUGACACGACACCACAGCACAGCACAACACAACAAAACACAACACAGUACUUAAAAAGUUCAAUAGAAGACUCACUCAUCAAGUGAGUCAGCUGUGCUUCCUGCUUUUGCCCUUCUGGUCUUUGGAGGAGAAAAAAGUUCUGUCUAUAAAGUGAAAUAAUAUGUGGAGUAGCUUCUGUUUCAGCUGAAAAUAGUCAGGAUUUUAGACAAAGAGUUAUAUAACAUGAAACUGGAUUGUAGUCACUAGGAUUAGAGGCUAUUCACAGCUAUUUAUUUUAAAACUGAUCCCUUACUCAAUGCUGCUGGAGACAUUGUGUAAAGGUCAUAGAUAGGCUACAAACCCAUUGCUUCAUCUUGUC